AAAAAAAAAAGAAAAGAAAUAAAAUGCAUAGCAAUAUAAAAAGAAAAAGGAACUAAAAUUCUAUCUGUAGAUCCCAAGUUAAGAACCCCUGGGAAGAAGCUUGCUUCAAGUUGAGUGAAAAAGCCAGGAAGAAGUAGCCAGAUGAUGAUGGUAAGAAGGUAGAAAAGAGUAUUCCAGGAAAGAGAAAUAUUACGUGGAAAGAGUAAGAGGUAAGAGUAAGAGUAAGAGGCCAAGGCACAGGCAAAGAGUUUGCUUUUUCAGCUCAAAAUUUAAGGGUACUGUAGGUCCAGCUAAAAACAAAGAGACUUGCUCUUUUUAAUCAUCUGUGCAGCUAUAAUAAGGGCACAUGUAUGAUGCGUCCUUUAGUCUAUUUAGUCUAUUAUACUUUGUUAUAUAAACAGAAUAUAUAAAAAUCUUUCUAUAAAUUGUUCUCUAUGAUUAUGUACUAGUGAGAAAAUAAACAUGUUGUUUUAGUAUAUCAAGCUGCAAAUAUUACUAUGCUAACUUUCAAAAUGAAUGAUUUAAAAUAGACUAUACUGAUCUGAAUCACUUUUUAUGUACAAUAUUAAAUCAGGAAUCAAAUCACAGCUGGGGACCUAAAUGUAUAUUUAUAAGAGAUAUUCUUCUCUGCUCCUGGGAUUUUCAUUCUGAAAUACCUUUAGUAGAAAAGCAAAGCACAUAAUAGUAGUUGAACUUUUCUGUAAUGUGUUUCUGGAGAUUAGGUCAUUAUGCGGGUUUUAAAAGACAUGUUACAAGCAUCAGAUAUUGUGUUUCCAUUACAUGGGGACUCAAUAAGUACUUAAAUGAAACCAAAAAUACUUUUCAUCGACUAACGAAAAGAAGAGCAAUGCAAUAAAAAUAUGCUAGCUAAAGACAGUUUAGUUGUGUGUGAAAUCAUGGAUUCACCCAGUCCUUAAAAUCAGAAAAAAAAAAUGAAAUGUUUUAAUUGUGAGCCUUCUGCUUAAUAGCUUCUGUGGCUGAAAAAAAUCCCUGAGACUCAAGUUUCCUUAUGGGUAAAACAGGGAUACUAAUACUUACACUUUGGUAUUAACUAAAGAGAGCACUAAAGACAAAGCUCUUAGUACAGUAUAGCAGUACACUGUAGUUUCCUCUUCUUUCACCUGGACUCUCCUGACAUCUCUCUGAUCACCCCACUUACAUAUACAGAUAGCUCAGGAAUUGACAGAAAGGAGUAGAAGAAGUUGGGUAGUACAGCAGGUUUGAGCAGAAAACAGACUAGAGUUUCUAUGUAAAAUUUUUAGGCUAUUGAUUUGAAAAUCAGACUUCCCCAGAUAGUUUCCAGAUACUAGAGUUAGCUAUGAAUGAAUUUUAAUCAUUUAGAGACCCCUUAUGUGAUAGCAGUUUUUAUAAAACUAUGCUGAAGGAACAGUAAGGGUAGAUAAAUUAAAACAAGUUUCAAUGGCACAUGCCUGUAGUCCCACUUACUCAAGAGGCUGAGGCAGGAGGAUCACUUGAGCCCGUGAAUUAGCGGCUGCAGUGACUGUAAUGGAGCCACUGCACUCUAGCCUAGACAACAGAGUGAGACCCCUUCUCUAAAAAAAAAAAAAAAAAACCUCAAAAGAAGAAUAUGUUCUGAGAUAUAUUUUCUGAGAUGGAACAACAUAAUUUAAAAGGGGUUAUAUAUACAUAGGAAUUUUUCUUCUGAUAUAUUUUAAACUCUCAACAUUUGAUUGAGUUUGACAAACUAUAUUGGGAACCUAUUAGGUGUCAGGCUCCACACACAGUACUUCAGAUCCCAAGGCAGAUAAGAUGUGCUUGCUGGUCUCAAAUAAGUCUCCGUGGAAUUUAGAAUAUUUGUGGGUAGGAGGUAGUGGGAUGGGUGAAAGCCUAGGGGAGGGGCACCCACUAUGCACCAAAAUAGCUAAAUAUUCAAUGACA
rnacentral:lncRNA from 1 species